rnacentral:rRNA from 1 species
GAUGAACGCUGGCGGCGUGCCUAAUACAUGCAAGUAGAACGCUGAAGGAAGGAGCUUGCUCUUUCCGGAUGAGUUGCGAACGGGUGAGUAACGCGUAGGUAACCUGCCUGGUAGCGGGGGAUAACUAUUGGAAACGAUAGCUAAUACCGCAUAACAGUAGAUGUUGCAUGAUAUCUACUUAAAAGGUGCAAUUGCACCACUACCAGAUGGACCUGCGUUGUAUUAGCUAGUUGGUGAGGUAACGGCUCACCAAGGCGACGAUACAUAGCCGACCUGAGAGGGUGAUCGGCCACACUGGGACUGACACGGCCCAGACUCCUACGGGAGGCAGCAGUAGGGAAUCUUCGGCAAUGGAAGGAAGUCUGACCGAGCAACGCCGCGUGAGUGAAGAAGGUUGUCGGAUCGUAAAGCUCUGUUGUAAGAGAAGAACGAGUGUGAGAGUGGAAAGUUCACACUGUGACGGUAUCUGACCAGAAAGGGACGGCUAACUACGUG